rnacentral:rRNA from 1 species
UGGGGAAUUUUGGACAAUGGGCGAAAGCCUGAUCCAGCAAUGCCGCGUGUGUGAAGAAGGCCUUCGGGUUGUAAAGCACUUUUGUCCGGAAAGAAAUCCUUGGCUCUAAUACAGUCGGGGGAUGACGGUACCGGAAGAAUAAGCACCGGCUAACUACGUGCCAGCAGCCGCGGUAAUACGUAGGGUGCAAGCGUUAAUCGGAAUUACUGGGCGUAAAGCGUGCGCAGGCGGUUGCUAAGACCGAUGUGAAAUCCCCGGGCUCAACCUGGGAACUGCAUUGGUGACUGGCAGGCUAGAGNAUGGCAGAGGGGGUAGAAUUCCACGUGUANCAGUGAAAUGCGUAGAGAUGUGGAGGAAUACCGAUGGCGAAGGCAGCCCCCUGGGCCAAUACUGACGCUCAUGCACGAAAGCGUGGGGAGCAAACAGGAUUAGAUACCCUGGUAGUCCACGCCCUAAACGAUGUCAACUAGUUGUUGGGGAUUCAUUUCCUUAGUACGUAGCUAACGCGUGAAGUUGACCGCCUGGGGAGUACGGUCGCAAGAUUAAAACUC